rnacentral:rRNA from 1 species
UACGUAGGUGGCGAGCGUUGUCCGGAUUACUGGGCGUAAAGGGCGUGCAGGCGGUUUGUUAAGUGCAGGGUGAAAGCUCCCGGCUCAACUGGGAGAGGUCCUUGCAUACUGGCGAACUCGAGGGAGGCAGAGGAAAGCGGAAUUCCCGGUGUAGUGGUGAUAUGCGUAGAUAUCGGGAGGAACACCUGUGGCGAAGGCGGCUUUCUGGGCCUUACCUGACGCUGAGACGCGAAAGCGUGGGGAGCGAACCGG